UACAUAGGGUGCAAGCGUUGUCCGGAAUUAUUGGGCGUAAAGAGCUCGUAGGUGGUUAGUUACGUCGGAUGUGAAAAUCAGGGGCUCAACCCCUGACCUGCAUUCGAUACGAGCUAGCUAGAGUUUGGUAGGGGAGACUGGAAUUCCUGGUGUAGCGGUGGAAUGCGCAGAUAUCAGGAGGAACACCAAUGGCGAAGGCAGGUCUCUGGGCCAAUACUGACACUGAGGAGCGAAAGUCUGGGGAGCGAACAGG
rnacentral:rRNA from 1 species